rnacentral:lncRNA from 1 species
AUGUCACGGAGCAGUUCUUGCAGUCAAGUUGGCUCUGCUGAAUUAGAGCAGAAGAUGGGAGGAAGAUCUUGGGUAAUCCUCUGUCCCUGUGGGACUUGUUCUGUUGCCUGGUGCCGAGUCCUAAGAAAGCGCUGCUGUUCAGAGGUAUGUGCUUUUAUGGCUGAAGCUGUGUUGUGACUGAGAAACAGAGCUCUCCUGGAGCAUUAGGCAAUUUUCAUGUACUCUAGGCCCAGGUCCUACAGCCACCUGCAUGAUAAGGAUUGAGAUAUUGAAUUUUACUAGAUAAUUUAAUGGGAAGCCAUGAACAGAAGUCAGGUGGAUAAGGUCCCUGCUGUUGAGGAGGUAUUUAACAGUGCCUGUGCUUACAGAAAUGCUGUAUUUCCCUUCUUUCCCUAUGCAAAUUAUCUCAGAGAGGUGGUUUUCUGUUUGCUGCUGGCAAGAUUUUGAUUAUCCUACUUAAAGCUAUUUCCUUGCUGGUCUGACAUUUGGGGGUUUGUGGACUACUUGCCAGAAAUAUUCAGUACUUCAUUAACAUUUAAUUUCUGUAGUAGGUAUUCCUCUCUAUUUUUCAUAGCACAUUUUUUUUCAAGACACAAGUGACUUUUCACUUGAAUAAGAAAUAUUGCGUGUAGAAAUCAUCUGUGACACUAGAAAAUAAGCUGCUAAAGACUAACAUGUUAAUUAAAAUUGCUGAAGGCUGCACUGGAUAUAAAGGAACCAUCAGUAACUGAGGACCAUCUCUUUUAGCCCUUUGUCUUUAUAAGAAAACAACAGUAAUCAAUUUUAACCUAUAUAUCUUCAUGAGAGAAAGAUAAUCUUGGCAUUAUUUAGCUUUCCCCAUACUUCCUCAUGAAUCCUGCAACCAUUAAAUACUUGAUUUUGAUUUGCUAGCCAGUUACCAAAGACAAGAGCAUUUGCAUUUUCUGUGCCAAUGCAUGUACAUUUGUCCAUUCAAAUGCAUGCUCUACUUUAUUCUGAAGUUAGGUGUGGGAAAAAGAUGCAAAGAUGAAACUUUCAUAGUUCUGAAGCAUUAAUCUUUUCAUAGAAAUAGAUACUUAAAGGCAACCCAAGCUUCCUUUUUUUUCCUCUAGGGAUGCUAACCUUACCUUACAUGUCUGCUUAUUUUAACAUCUAUUCCAGGAGAACAGGAAUUUCUGGAUAUUGUUCAGGAAUGUGA